GAUGAACGCUAGCGAUAGGCCUAACACAUGCAAGUCGAGGGGCAUCACAUGAAGUAGCAAUACGGAUGGUGGCGACCGGCGCACGGGUGAGUAACACGUAUGCAACCUACCUGUAAGCGGGGAAUAACCCGUUGAAAGACGGACUAAUACCGCAUAAUACUGGAGAUCUGCAUGGAUAUUCAGUUAAACAUUUAUGGCUUACAGAUGGGCAUGCGCAUGAUUAGAUAGUUGGAGAGGUAACGGCUCCCCAAGUCAACGAUCAUUAGGGGUUCUGAGAGGAAGGUCCCCCACACUGGUACUGAGACACGGACCAGACUCCUACGGGAGGCAGCAGUAGGGAAUUUUCGGCAAUGGGGGAAACCCUGACCGAGCAACGCCGCGUGAGUGACGAAGGCCUUCGGUUGUAAGCUCUGUUGUAAGGAGAAGGUACAUAGAGGGAAUGCUAUGUAAGUGACGGU
rnacentral:rRNA from 1 species